GGGGCGCGCUUCCGGUUUUUAGGAAUGGACCGCAACGAGGUCGCGCAGGUGCCGCUUCGCCUGCGAACUGCCGGACGGAGGCUUUCCGCGAAGCCGCAGAUUGAUAGAUGAAGCAUAAAACAAGACCAGAUGCUGUGGUUUCCAGGAUGCACUUGGCUUCCCAACCUUUAUUACCUGGAGCAGUUUUACUGAGAAUCUUUAAACAUAGAGGUGAAGAGGAGGAAAAUGGGAAUAGGAAGAAAGAAAAUGGCAAGAAAGAGGACAGGAGAAACGUUUGGAGGCUGAAAAUCUGAGAUCACGGUACUUGCAUCCUCAGCUUCUGUGUCUAGUGAGGGCCUCCUAUGGAGUGGGAAAAGGGUGCUAAUCCCAUUCCUCGGGGCUCUGCCCCAUGACUUAAUCACCUCCUAAAGGCCCCAUCUCCAAAUAUCAUCACCUUGGGGGUUAAGUUUCAACAUGAGAAUUGGGGGAAGCAGGGGGCACAAACCUUCAAACCAUAGUAGAGGGGGAAGACUGAGGUUUUAAACAAAGCAUUAGCAACUUUCUCCUAGCCCUCUCUUUCAAUUGUCCUUUGUUUGUAUGUAUAUUUGUAAAUGAAUAGAAGAGGAAGAAAUGGAAAGAGGAAAAGAAAAAAAAGAGACAUUAAUCUGGGGACAGGUGGUGGUGAGCCCCUGGGAAUUGUAAAGCACCUGCAUGUAUUACAAGAAUAAACUUCUCUGUAUU